rnacentral:lncRNA from 1 species
UCUCUGACACACCAUGUAUGAGGUCUGGAGAGAGCCAUCUACAAUAAGAAAGAAGCAGUGGUAAGGCAGUGAUCUCAGUAUCCAAGGCAGAACACUCAUUGCCUUAACCAGAUCUUGGAACAAUGUGUUAUAAAUGUAAGAAAUAUCAUCUUGGGUUAUGCUACGGACUCAUGAGAUCCUGCACACUGAAGCAUAGACAGUCCUGUGCUGCUGAGAACUUUUACAUACUCACGAACAGAGGGCAGAGCAUGUAUCAUUAUUCAAGACUGUCAUGUAUGACCAACUGUGAGGACAUCAACUUCCUGAGUUUUGAAAGGAGGACAGAGCUAAUUUGUUGCAAGCACAGU